CGGAGGAUCCAAGCGUUAUCCGGAUUUAUUGGGUUUAAAGGGUGCGUAGGCGGCCUAUUAAGUCAGGGGUGAAAGACGGUAGCUCAACUAUCGCAGUGCCCUUGAUACUGAUGGGCUUGAAUACACUAGAGGUAGGCGGAAUGUGACAAGUAGCGGUGAAAUGCAUAGAUAUGUCACAGAACACCGAUUGCGAAGGCAGCUUACUAUGGUGUUAUUGACGCUGAGGCACGAAAGCGUGGGAUCAAACAGGAUU
rnacentral:rRNA from 1 species